CGGGGUAUAGCGAAGUUUGGUUAUCGCGCAUGACUGGGGGUCAUGAGAUCGCUGGUUCGAAUCCAGUUACUCCGA
rnacentral:tRNA from 2 species